rnacentral:snRNA from 1 species
AUUGCUUCUCGGCCUUUUGGCUAAGAUCAAGUGUAGUAUCAAAAGCCAAAGUUGAGUAGUUGGGAUAGAGAUGAUAUGAAUUGCAAGGCCUAGGAUAUUUACUGUCU